rnacentral:rRNA from 1 species
AUUCCGGUUGAUCCUGCCGGAGGCCAUUGCUAUCGGAGUCCGAUUUAGCCAUGCUAGUCGCACGGGCUUAGACCCGUGGCAUAUAGCUCAGUAACACGUGGCCAAACUACCCUACAGACCGCAAUAACCUCGGGAAACUGAGGCCAAUAGCGGAUAUAACUCUCAUGCUGGAGUGCAGAGAGUUAGAAAUGUUCCGGCGCUGUAGGAUGUGGCUGCGGCCGAUUAGGUAGACGGUGGGGUAAC